rnacentral:rRNA from 1 species
GUGAGGAAUAUUGCGCAAUGGAGGCAACUCUGACGCAGCCAUGCCGCGUGCAGGAAGAAGGCGCUACGCGUUGUAAACUGCUUUUAACCGGGAAGAAACCCCAGGACGUGUCCUGGGUUGACGGUACCGGAGGAAUAAGCACCGGCUAACUUCGUGCCAGCAGCCGCGGUAAUACGAAGGGUGCAAGCGUUAUCCGGAUUCAUGGGGUUUAAAGGGUGCGUAGGCGGAGCGUUAAGUCAGUGGUGAAAUCCUGCAUCUUAACUGUAGACUUGCCAUUGAUACUGGCGCUCUUGAGUGCGCUUGAAGUGGGCGGAAUGUGCCGUGUAGCGGUGAAAUGCUUAGAUAUGGCACAGAACACCAAUUGCGAAGGCAGCUCACUAAGGCGAUACUGACGCUGAGGCACGAAAGCGUGGGGAUCGAACAGGAUUAGAAACCCUGGUAGUCC